rnacentral:rRNA from 1 species
GACGAACGCUGGCGGCGUGCCUAAUACAUGCAAGUCGAGCGGACCUCUUCGGAGGUCAGCGGCGGACGGGUGAGUAACACGUGGGCAACCUGCCUGUAAGACUGGGAUAACACCGGGAAACCGGUGCUAAUACCGGAUAAUCCUUUUCUUCACAUGGGGAAAAGCUGAAAGACGGUUUCGGCUGUCACUUACAGAUGGGCCCGCGGCGCAUUAGCUAGUUGGUGAGGUAACGGCUCACCAAGGCGACGAUGCGUAGCCGACCUGAGAGGGUGAUCGGCCACACUGGGACUGAGACACGGCCCAGACUCCUACGGGAGGCAGCAGUAGGGAAUCUUCCGCAAUGGACGAAAGUCUGACGGAGCAACGCCGCGUGAGCGAAGAAGGCCUUCGGAUCGUAAAGCUCUGUUGUCAGGGAAGAACACGUACCGGAGUAACUGCCGGUACCUUGACGGUACCUGACCAGAAAGCCACGGCUAACUACGUGCCAGCCGCCGCGGAAA